GAUGAACGCUAGCUAUAGGCUUAACACAUGCAAGUCGAGGGGAAACGGCAUGAGAUGCUUGCAUCUUAUGGACGUCGACCGGCGUACGGGUGAGUAACACGUAACUAACCUGCCCUUCAGUGGGGGACAACAGGAGGAAACUCCUGCUAAUACCGCGUACCUUUUAACAAUCGCAUGAUUGAUAAAAGAAAGGUGGCCUCUAUUUAUAAGCUACCGCUGAAGGAGGGGGUUGCGUCUGAUUAGCUAGUUGGUGGGGUAAAAGCCUACCAAGGCGAUGAUCAGUAGCCGGUCUGAGAGGACGAACGGCCACAUUGGGACUGAGACACGGCCCAA
rnacentral:rRNA from 1 species